rnacentral:ncRNA from 1 species
UGAAAAGCUGGGAAGGACAACAGUAAAAGGCGGAUAAUCUGCUGCUCAGAGAAACGGUGGUUGGUGCGAACCGGGAAAGCAGGCCCCUUUGAAUUACAGUCUGGAGCUGUCCGGGGGAAAGCAUACAUGCGAGUAGUCCGGUGCCGGGGAACCGUUAUGGAAAUGAAGUGAAAACCGAUGCCGCAGGCAGGAAGUUGGCGUGAAGUCAUCGGUUUUAAUUAGGGUGGUAACGCGAGCGCUCCUUCUCGUCCCUUGG